UAGACCGCCUGGGGAGUACGGCCGCAAGGUUAAAACUCAAAUGAAUUGACGGGGGCCCGCACAAGCGGUGGAGCAUGUGGUUUAAUUCGAUGCAACGCGAAGAACCUUACCUGGUCUUGACAUCCACAGAAGAAUCCAGAGAUGGAUUUGUGCCUUCGGGAACUGUGAGACAGGUGCUGCAUGGCUGUCGUCAGCUCGUGUUGUGAAAUGUUGGGUUAAGUCCCGCAACGAGCGCAACCCUUAUCCUUUGUUGCCAGCGGUUAGGCCGGGAACUCAAAGGAGACUGCCAGUGAUAAACUGGAGGAAGGUGGGGAUGACGUCAAGUCAUCAUGGCCCUUACGACCAGGGCUACACACGUGCUACAAUGGCGCAUACAAAGAGAAGCGACCUCGC
rnacentral:rRNA from 1 species